CAGUGCUUAUCCUACUUCGCUAAACAUUUCAUUAAACAAAACCUCAAGAAGUACUGAAAACCAAACAAUACCUAAACCCAAAAUAAAUAAAUGAAUAAAUAAGCACACACAGAUACAUCUCUACAAGAAGAAAAAUGAGGAUUCAUGAUCGUAUUUCAGAAGACAAACAACUGGAUAUUGUUUUGUAGCAAAAAAGUGUCAUGCAGGGAGUCAGAAGUAGUUUUCCAUUCUGUUUCUGGUAUCAACUACUUCUCUGACACCAGCAAAUAGUUUAGUCUACCUCUACUUCCAUUUUCUCAUCUGAAAAAUGAGGAUUCGUCCCCAGUGCCUUAUUUCAUUCAUUUGGUGAGGUCAUGAUUUCCUGGAUGGUCUCAAUGCUUGUGCAUGUUCAUUGGUCUCUGGGCAUUGAAGAGGCAGGCACUAAUUUAUCAGUCCUUAUGUGGCACCAAAUCUGAACACAGCCAGAUAUAGAUGGUCCGUGAUAGAAGAAACGGGAUGGUCUCACUGACUCACCCCAGGUACUGUGCUUUUGAUAUUAUUCUAGAAUGUAGUCUUUAUAAUUUGGUUUUUGUAGCAUCCCAGGGACAAGUCCACAUGUGCUGGUGUGAGUUUCACUUUGCAUGUGCUGCUUUAUCAUGAACAUGGAAGACAUACUAGGUUUCUGCAGCAGAAACACUCCAGCCUCUUCCAAAGCAGAAGGCCCUGGGUUGUAGACCUUCAAAAAGAAGCAAACAUAAAGAGCUUUUAAAAGCUCUGACUUCUGGUAAUGGAACAAAUUGCUGAAAUCACUUCUGCCCUGAUCCAACAAUUCAUUAUCUCCCAGAAACAGUGGCUUUUAUAGCUGCUAUGGGGUUGCUAUAGUCUUCUAGAUACAACGAAUAAUCUCAGUACAGACAUGAAUGCUCAAGUCCUUAUACUAAAAGCUUUAGACUUAAUUUUGUUUGUCUAAAUCUGUAAUAAAUCUAAGAGUGGUAUGGAGAUAUUUUUAUAAAACAAAUUUAGAAAAGAGCUAAUUUUAUUUUAUACAAAACAAAAUUGGCCCAUUAUAAUAAACUCCCCAAAUAGUCCAAAGAAAGAAUCAUAUUUUUAUUUCCUCAUUACACAGCUGGGAAAUUAUUGAAAUAAACAUGAAAAUCUUGAUUUCAGUUCAUACUUGAUAUGUAAAACAAGACCUUGUAAACUUCUAACAUUUUCCAGUGUAUAAGUCUGCAAUAAUUUACUAAGGGCACCCUAUUGCCCUAGAAUUAUUUUGAAUCUCUUUAUUGAUGAAAUCAGAUUAAAUUAAGAAUGAAAAUUAAUCCCAACAUUAGAGAUGGAAUCAACACAAGUCAAGAGUAUUGUCUGAUUUGUUUGAGGCCUAUUUUCACCCAUGGAGUAAAUGGCACCAUUGGUGGCUAUAGAGUAGGUAAAUAACUACAGGUCAUAUCUGACUCUAAUGAUAGGAGUAAUUUCAUCAAACCUAAACCUGAAUGAUAACUUUCCACAGAAAUGGGGAGCUAGAAAAAAGUUAAGUAUCUUGAUUUGUAAGACAUAUGUAUAUACUCAGUGUCUACACAGGGCAAUUUUAUUUAGAACAGCGGGGUAAGGGGAGAAGGGAUGAGAGGAUACUAUGGAGAAUAGAACUGAGUCAGAUUAAAGGAGAAUGGAGUCUAUGAAAAGACUCUGGUCAGUGUGUGUGUGUGUGUGUGUGUGUGUGUGUGAGAGAGAGUGUGUGUGUGUGUAACAGGAAAUGGUUACUUAAUUCAGGCUCUGAAUUAUGAACCUUGUGUGAGGUAAGGUUUGUGGUAAAAUAUCCUGGGAAUUGAAGGUGAUAAUAAUAACGCCAGGUUGCUUGAGACACCCAUCACUAUCUGAACCAGGAAGCAGUCAGGUAAUGCUUUUCCAUGCCAUAAAAGUAUGAAAUGGAGCUUCUGUGCAACACCAGGAUCUUGAACUACUGAACAGAAGGAAGCUAAGCAUUGGCAAACUAAAGACCAGUUUAGCAAGUCAAUAGCCAGUGAGUGCUCAGUGAGGGGUGGUAAUGCCUUUACAGUAUUUAGUGAUUCUGAGGAGCAGCUAUACAUGUCUGUUAUAUUUCUCAGUAGAGAUAUAUAAUGUUAAUAACCAAUUUCCAGAGUAAGGCACCAUCUCUUUCACAGAAUUUCCAAAUGUAUAGCAACUUGAGGAGGUCUUCAUUGAGAACUUUUUUUCUAUAACUUUGGUAUUCAUACUCAGGCCAAAGGAAAGAUACCCCAGCUUCACCUGUGAUGACAAUUGCCCUUCUAUUUCUAGAAAGAUGUUUUUGAUCAAAAGUAAAUUUCAGGUGACAUCAGAAAUAAUUUUACUUUCAAGCUAUUUCUCAUUCUCUGACUGAAGCUGGAUAUUAAUUUCCAAUCCAAUUUAUAUAGCUUCGUCCCUCUGAAACCAAAAGGAAAAGAAAAAAAUGUCUCAUCUCUUCUUGUCCUUGGACUCCACCACUGGUCCUUUCUUCGAGCUUUUCAAGCAUUAGUCAAUAUUUUAUUAACAUAUUCACACUUCAAAAGAAGAAACAAAAAGAGAGAACCUGCAUGCAUUCUCAAAACACCAUACAUUUCCUCUUUUCCUAUUUGAUUAUAAUGAAGAAAGCAAUGGGUCUGUCAGAUAAACAUGAUUAUAUUAGUUUUUUAUUAAAAUAGUGAAGAUUUUAAAAUUAUGUUGUAUGAUGGCAUCCAAAAUGAGAAUAAUGUUAGGAAUUUUAAGAUUCUCCUUUUUUCCAUAUUCUAUAUAGAAAAUAUAA